UUUUUUUUUUUAAUCUUAAUAUAUGCUACAGGCCAGGGUGAUGGCUGAAGCCGGGAGAAUGUCAGCCGUGUACUUAGUACUAGCAAGCUGCGUUUGUGUUUAAACUCGCUCGUCCACUGACCCAUUUGCCACCAUUUGCUUCUCUUGCUGGGGCUUUCCUGAACCCAUCUCCAGUGAUUCAGAUGUGGGUUGCUUUGCAGCUGCUGCAUCUUUACCCUUAUUUUUGCGAUAGAUGAAGUAUAGAAUCAGCUGUAUUGCACCUAGACCACACCCAAAACCAUUGGGGACAGCUACAAAAGGAUCGCGGCCAAGUAGGCCGAAGAUGAACCAAGAAGUGCCACAGAGAAACACAAACAGUGACAAGAAAAAUGGCAUGAAUUCUACACUCUUAGUUUUAAUCACCAACCUAAUGAUAGACAGAGGUGAGGCGUACAUAAUGAUGGAGAAAAUGGUGGCAGCUAAGCCACAGAAGAGCUUCCUGGCCUUGUCAAGCAGGGCAAACAGGGACACAAAGGCCACAAUUGAAAAAAUAGUGAGCACCAGCGUAAAGAGGCCUAGGAUUUUGCUCUUCUCCUUCCUUGGUGCAUAGAUAAUGAAGAUCAAAACAUAUAUGGUUUCAAUUGCUGCUCCUGUACCAUUAAUUGUUGACACCAGAAGAUUGUUCUUGGAAACAAAUGGCAGACCAUACCAGGCGGAAAGCAGACAGUUGAGCAUUGUCAUCACGUAUGGGAUGCCUGAAAACUGUUCUGUGUACUUGCUUCUUAUGAUUCUCCUGAAUGUAAUCGUUGGAGCCAAGAAGAGGAACAAGGCAGUGGCAUUUCCAAAAACACCGAACAAGAAGUGGAGAACAUCCAUUGUCAGCAAGAUUGAAAGAAAAAAUUCUUCAAAAGGAAAGAGAGAGAAGGCAAAGACAAUUAACAAAAUUUUUCUUAUAAGAAGAACCAAAGUGUAAGUGCAGAGGUUGGUUCACAAAUGGAGAUGCGAUGAGUGGAAGAAGGAAGAGGGAAAUUGCAAUGGGUUAUAUAGAAGAAAAAAGGAAAAUAACUGAUGAAUUUU
rnacentral:misc_RNA from 1 species